UACGUAGGGUGCGAGCGUUAAUCGGAAUUACUGGGCGUAAAGCGUGCGCAGGUUGUUUUGCAAGUCAGAUGUGAAAGCCCCGGGCUCAACCUGGGAAUUGCAUUUGAAACUACAAGGCUAGAGUGUGGCAGAGGGGGGUAGAAUUCCACGUGUAGCAGUGAAAUGCGUAGAUAUGUGGAGGAAUACCGAUGGCGAAGGCAGCCCCCUGGGUUAACACUGACGCUCAUGCACGAAAGCGUGGGGAGCAAACAGG
rnacentral:rRNA from 1 species